rnacentral:lncRNA from 1 species
CUUGGGGAUAACUCUACUCAUUAAGAAAAAAAAAUAACCUUGGUUCCUUUUUCUGUGUGUGUGUGUGUAAAUCCCAGCUCUUUCUAGCAGUGCUUCUCUUUCCCCCUGCAGUCUUUUGCCCAGCCCUGGUUGCAAGUCCUGCUUGUGAAUACCACGGAGUUGCAGCAGCUCUCCAUGUGCUGAAGGAAGAACACACAACUGGGACAAGGCCUUCCUGCAUCAUUUCAGAUGAGAGGAUGAAGAAAGCACAUACAUCGACCUUAGGCCACACAUGUGGUGCAAUGGCCUUGGAAGAAGACCUGCUUUCAGGAGGUUUUUGGCAUCCUCUACAACCAGCAAGUUGUUCCAGAAUCAACAGUUUUGGUCAAUGACUGACAAGGAAAGGCUGCUUUGCCUCAGUGCACCAGGAAGAAAUGAGCAGACAUGUGGCAGACACCUUAUUUGCACUGGUGGGACUAAUGCUUUUGAGGCAGUUUACGAAAGAUUGCAUGAAUUUUGUUGCUACUUGAGAUAUUGUGGCUUUGGAUAUCAUCAAAGCUGUGGCACAAGCACAGUCUUGAAGGUGAAACACAGAACCUUUCUUUGGCUCAAAAGAAGACAGAAUACUUGCCCUCAAUUGCCAUCUGGCACAGUGGAAAUCUCAGAGACAAAAAGAGCAGGUAACCAAACUGAC